AGCGAACGCUGGCGGCAGGCCUAACACAUGCAAGUCGAGCGGACCCUUCGGGGUUAGCGGCGGACGGGUGAGUAACGCGUGGGAACGUGCCCUUUGCUUCGGAAUAGCCCUGGGAAACUGGGAGUAAUACCGGAUACGCCCUUUGGGGGAAAGAUUUAUCGGCAAAGGAUCGGCCCGCGUUGGAUUAGGUAGUUGGUGGGGUAAUGGCCUACCAAGCCGACGAUCCAUAGCUGGUUUGAGAGGAUGAUCAGCCACACUGGGACUGAGACACGGCCCAGACUCCUACGGGAGGCAGCAGUGGGGAAUCUUAGACAAUGGGGGAAACCCUGAUCUAGCCAUGCCGCGUGAGCGAUGAAGGCCUUAGGGUUGUAAAGCUCUUUCACCAGGGACGAUAAUGACGGUACCUGGAGAAUAAGCCCCGGCAAACUUCGUGCCAGCCGCCGCCGUAAUAC
rnacentral:rRNA from 1 species